rnacentral:rRNA from 1 species
GGUGGGCGGGAAGAGAAUUCCAAGGCGCGUGAGAGAACCCUGGUUAAGGAACUAGGCAAACUGGCCCCGUAACUUCGGGAGAAGGGGCGCCGACAGGUGUGUACGGACUUGCUCCGGAAGCACCCAUCGGUCGCAGUGGCCUGGGGGUUGCGACUGUUUACUAAAAACACAGGACUGUGCGAAGACGGAAGUCGACGUAUACGGUCUGACGCCUGCCCGGUGCUGGAAGGUUAAGGGGAGGUGUUAGCCGCAAGGCGAAGCACCGAACCGAAGCCCCAGUAAACGGCGGCCGUAACAAUAACGGUCCUAAGGUAGCAAAAUUCCUUGUCGGGUAAGUUCCGACCUGCACGAGGGCGUAACGACAUCCCCGCUGUCUCGACCAGGGACUCAGCGAAAUUGUAUUGGGGGUGAAGAUACCCUCUACCCGCGGAAAGACGGAAAGACCCCAUGAACCUUUACUGUAACUUGGCAGUGAGUUUCGGGCGGUUCUGCGUAGGAUAGGUGGGAGACUUUGACUCGGGGUUCUGGCCUCGAGGGAGUCAACCUUGAAAUACCACCCUGAACUGUCUGGGAUUCUAACCUAAACCCCUCACCGGGGUUGGGGACACUGCCUGGUGGGCAGUUUGACUGGGGCGGUCGCCUCCCAAAUUGUAACGGAGGCGCACGAAGGUCACCUCAGGCUGAUUGGAAACCAGCCGUAGAGUGUAAAGGCACAAGGUGGCUUGACUGCGAGACCGACAGGUCGAGCAGGUGCGAAAGCAGGUCUUAGUGAUCCGGUGGUCCCGUAUGGAAGGGCCAUCGCUCAUCGGAUAAAAGGUACUCUGGGGAUAACAGGCUGAUCACGCCUGAGAGUUCACAUCGGCGGCGUGGUUUGGCACCUCGAUGUCGGCCCAUCGCAUCCUGGGGCUGGAGCAGGUCCCAAGGGUUCGGCUGUUCGCCGAUUAAAGCGGUACGCGAGCUGGGUUUAGAACGUCGUGAGACAGUUCGGUCCCUGUCUUCCGUGGGCGCAGGAUACUUGAGAGGACCUACCCAUAGUACGAGAGGACCUGGGUGGACGUAUCUCUAGUGAUCCGGUUGUUCCGCCAGGAGCACCGCCGGGUAGCUAUAUACGGACCAGAUAACCGCUGAAAGCAUCUAAGCGGGAAGCUGACCUCAAGAUUAGGUAUCCCUUUUAGACCCCACGUAGACUACGUGGCGAUAGGCCGGGUGUGGACGCGCUGCGAGGCGCGGAGCUAACCGGUACUAAUAGGUCGAUCGGCUUGCCCA